rnacentral:misc_RNA from 1 species
GUACCCUCAAGCUUUGCUUGGUGUUGGGCAACGCGGUCCGCCGCGUGCCUCAAAUCGACCGGCUGGGUCUUCUGUCCCCUAAGCGUUGUGGAAACUAUUCGCUAAAGGGUGCUCGGGAGGCUACGCCGUAAAACAACCCCAUUUCUAA